rnacentral:tRNA from 2 species
GGGGCGUUAGCUCAAUUGGUAGAGCUGCGGACUUUUAAUCCGUAGGUUCUGGGUUCGAGCCCCAGGCGCCCCAC